rnacentral:rRNA from 1 species
UCAUCUCCUGAUGAGAAGUUGAAAGGCGGCUUUUGCUGUCACUUACAGAUGGGCCUGCGGCGCAUUAGCUAGUUGGUAAGGUAACGGCUUACCAAGGCAACGAUGCGUAGCCGACCUGAGAGGGUGAUCGGCCACACUGGGACUGAGACACGGCCCAGACUCCUACGGGAGGCAGCAGUAGGGAAUCUUCCGCAAUGGACGAAAGUCUGACGGAGCAACGCCGCGUGAGUGAUGAAGGUUUUCGGAUCGUAAAACUCUGUUGUUAGGGAAGAACAAGUGCCAUAGUAACUGAUGGCACCUUGACGGUACCUAACCAGAAAGCCACGGCUAACUACGUGCCAGCAGCCGCGGUAAUACGUAGGUGGCAAGCGUUGUCCGGAAUUAUUGGGCGUAAAGCGCUCGCAGGCGGUUCUUUAAGUCUGAUGUGAAAUCUUACGGCUCAACCGUAAACGUGCAUUGGAAACUGGAGGAACUUGAGUGCAGAAGAG